CAGCCCAGGCCUGAACAGGCAGUGGCCAAAGUGACCCCAAGAGAGUAUCCAGGGACUCAAGCCUCUGAUCAAGUUACCCCCAGAGGAUCAGAGAGGGGGUGACGAAGGGGAAGCAUUCAGAGGGCACUGGCUUCUGGACAGCAAUGAGUGCCCGGGCCACGCGGCCCCGAAGCCGGCGAGGGAGGCAUGUUCCACCCGGUGAACUGGACCCCGUGGCUGAGAGUUCAGAGGAGGUCGAGGCAGCCGGUGGAAGCGCCAAGCCCAGCCUUGCCCCACCUCUGGGGGGCUCUGGGCCGGAGCAGCUGGGCCCCACGGAGGAGGUCAGUGGCCAAGGCCUAGGAAGCAGGUAAGACCCGCUUGGUCUAUGCCCUUCAGCCCAGUCCAGACGCAUCUUUGCCCCCCACAGGUCUGCUGGUGUACCUCCUCUGCUCACUCGCUUGCCAUAGCUCCCUGCUGCCCUCAGCCUGAUGACUUUCUUUCUUUCCUCUUUCU